rnacentral:rRNA from 1 species
CACGCAGGCGGUUUGUUAAGUCAGAUGUGAAAUCCCCGGGCUCAACCUGGGAACUGCAUCUGAUACUGGCAAGCUUGAGUCUCGUAGAGGGGGGUAGAAUUCCAGGUGUAGCGGUGAAAUGCGUAGAGAUCCGGAGGAAUACCGGUGGCGAAGGCGGCCCCUGGACGAAGACUGACGCUCAGGUGCGAAAGCGUGGGGAGCAAACA